CUCAGUAACGGCGAGUGAAGCGGCAACAGCUCAAAUUUGAAAUCUGACCCCUUCGGGGCCCGAGUUGUAAUUUGUAGAGGACGUUUCGGGUGCGGCGCCGGUCUAAGUUCCUUGGAACAGGACGUCGUAGAGGGUGAGAAUCCCGUAUGCGACCGGUGACCAACCCCAUGUGAAACCCCUUCGACGAGUCGAGUUGUUUGGGAAUGCAGCUCAAAAUGGGUGGUAAAUUUCAUCUAAAGCUAAAUACCGGCCAGAGACCGAUAGCGCACAAGUAGAGUGAUCGAAAGAUGAAAAGCACUUUGGAAAGAGAGUCAAACAGUACGUGAAAUUGUUGAAAGGGAAGCGCUUGCAACCAGACCUGCCCCUGGGCGAUCAGCCGUUAUUCUUAGCGGUGCACUCGUCCUUGUUCAGGCCAGCAUCGGUUCGGGCGGCCGGAUAAAGACCCCGGGAAUGUAGCUCCCUCCGGGGAGUCUUAUAGCCCGGGGUGCAAUGCGGCCAGCCCGGACCGAGGA
rnacentral:rRNA from 1 species